UAACUAUCCACUAUGAAAUAUUUAAAGUUAAAAUAACAGAAUACAAUAACACAGUCCGUCUUGAGAGGCGCUGCUAUUUCUCCAAGAUUAUAAAUAACAAUGCUAGUAAUCCCAGAGUCUUAUUCUCGACGAUUGAUCGUCUGCUAAACCCAGGUAACUCAAAGGAAUACAUCCUAAGUACUUCCAGUAAAACCUGUGAGGCUAUUGCUGUAUUUUUCAAUCAAAAAAUUAAUGAUAUUAGAAAUAACAUAGUAUAUCUCCUCAACACUAAGGAUCCUCCUAAACCCCAGUAUUCCGUUAUAAACAAAUUAAACUCUUUCACUAGGAUAGAUUUACCUGAUUUACAUAAAAUAAUUUCUCAACUGAAACCCUCCACCUGCAUCCUUGACCCAAUAUCAACAAAGUUUUUCAAAGAAGUAUCAGACGUACUAAUUGAUAAUAUUUUUGACAUAGUAAAUUCGUCAUUAGAUACGGGGGUCUUCCCAGACUGUCUUAAGACUGCGGUAGUUAAACCCCUACUUAAGAAAAAUAAUCUUGACCCCUCUGCUCUUGAAAAUUUUAGACCCAUCUCUAACCUGCCUUUCUUAAGUAAAAUUCUAGAGAAGGCAGUCAUUAUGCAGUUAAAUGACCACCUCAAUAAACAUGCUAUUCUUGAUAAAUUUCAGUCUGGUUUUAGAACAAAUCACAGCACAGAAACUGCACUCGUUAAAGUAGUAAAUGACUUGCGGGUAAAUGCAGACAGAGGCCAUUUAUCUGUUCUCAUCCUCUUAGAUCUGAGUGCCGCAUUUGACACCAUUGAUCAUAAUAUUCUUAGUAAUCACCUUAGUCAAUGGGUGAGCAUCUCUGGCAGUGUCUUAAAUUGGUUUGAAUCCUACCUGGCAGGGAGAAAAUUCUUUGUUAGUUGUGGUAAUUACAACUCAAAGACACAUGAUAUCCUAUAUGGUGUUCAACAAGGCUCUAUCCUGGGUCCGCUGCUCUUCUCAAUCUACAUGCUUCCGUUAGGUCAGAUUAUCUCAGGGCACAACGUGAGCUACCACAGCUAUGCUGAUGACACACAGCUGUAUUUAUCAAUAGCACCUGAUGUCCCUGAUUCUCUUGAUUCACUAAUACAAUGUCUUACUUGUAUUUCUGAAUGAAUGAAUAGUAAUUUUCUCAAGCUAAAUAAAGAGAAAACUGAAAUUUUAGUGAUUGGCAAUAAUGGAUACAAUGAGGUUAUCAGAAAUAAACUCGAUGCAUUAGGAUUAAAAGUCAAGACAGAGGUAAAAAACUUAGGGGUAAUUGUUGACUGUAACCUGAAUUUUAAAUCGCAUAUUCAUCAGACCACUAGGACAGCAUUUUUUCACUUAAGAAACAUAGCAAAAGUUAGACCUCUUAUAUCACUGAAAGAUGCUGAUAAAUUAGUUCAUGCUUUUGUUUUCAGUCGACUAGAUUACUGUAACGAACUCCUCUCAGGACUACCCAAAAAAGACAUAAAUCAUUUGCAACUAGUGCAGAAUGCACCUGCUAGAAUCCUAACUAGGAAAAGAAAAUCCGAGCAUAUUUCUCGAGUUUUGAUGUCAUUACACUGGUUACCUAUGUCAUUCAGAAUUGACUUUAAAAUACUGCUUAUGGUUUAUAAAGCCUUAAAUAAUCUUGCUCCAUCUUAUAUAUCGGAAUGUCUUACACCCUAUAUUCCAAAUUGUAACCUUAGAUCCUCAAAUGAGUGUCUCCUUAGAAUUCCAAGAGCAAAACUUAAAAGAAGUGGUGAGGCGGCCUUCUGCUGUUAUGCACCUAAAAUCUGGAAUAGCCUGCCAAUAGGAAUUCACCAGGCUAAUACAGU